rnacentral:rRNA from 1 species
GAUCAGGCUCAGGACGAACGCUGGCGGCGCGCCUAACACAUGCAAGUCGAACGAGAGAGAAGGAGCUUGCUUCUUCGAUCGGGUGGCGAACGGGUGAGUAACGCGUGAGGAACCUGCCUCAAAGAGGGGGACAACAGUUGGAAACGACUGCUAAUACCGCAUAAGCCCACGGGUCGGCAUCGACCUGAGGGAAAAGGAGCAAUCCGCUUUGAGAUGGCCUCGCGUCCGAUUAGCUAGUUGGUGAGG